rnacentral:rRNA from 1 species
UGCGUAGGUGGGUAGGUAAGUCAGUGGUGAAAUCCCCCGAGCUUAACUUGGGAACUGCCGUUGAUACUAUCUAUCUUGAAUAUCGAGUAGGUAAGCGGAAUAUGUCAUGUAGCGGUGAAAUGCUUAGAUAUGACAUAGAACACCAAUUGCGAAGGCAGCUUACUUCAAGAUUAUUGACACUGAGGACACCGAAAGGACUUGGGGAAUCGAAACA